rnacentral:rRNA from 1 species
GACGAACGCUGGCGGCGUGCUUAACACAUGCAAGUCGAACGGAAAGGCCCUGCUUUUGUGGGGUGCUCGAGUGGCGAACGGGUGAGUAACACGUGAGUAACCUGCCCUUGACUUUGGGAUAACUUCAGGAAACUGGGGCUAAUACCGGAUAGGAGCUCCUGCUGCAUGGUGGGGGUUGGAAAGUUUCGGCGGUUGGGGAUGGACUCGGGGCUUAUCAGCUUGUUGGUGGGGUAGUGGCUUACUAAGGCUUUGACGGGUAGCCGGCCUGAGAGGGUGACCGGCCACAUUGGGACUGAGAUACGGCCCAGACUCCUACGGGAGGCAGCAGUGGGGAAGAUGGCACAAUGGGCGGAAGCCUGAUGCAGCAACGCCGCGUGCGGGAUGACGGCCUUCGGGUUGUAAACCGCUUUCGCCUGUGACGAAGCGUGAGUGACGGUAAUGGGUAAAGAAGCACCGGCUAACUACGUG